GUUCCCGAAUCCUGAGAACCCGAAGUUUCGGUGCCCUGCAACAUCUCCAGCAUGAAGGGAGAUUCGCCUUCGGCUGCUGAUGCCCGAAAAACCCGGAGCGGGUAGUUGCUC